CGGCGGACGGCUGAGUAACGCGUAGGAACGUACCCCAAACUGAGGGAUAACUGCUCGAAAGAGUAGCUAAUACCGCAUGUGCUCUUCGGAGUAAAGCUUCGGCGGUUUGGGAACGGCCUGCGUAAGAUUAGCUAGUUGGUGAGGUAAUAGCUCACCAAGGCUUCGAUCUUUAGCUGGUCUGAGAGGAUGAUCAGCCAGACUGGGACUGAGAACGGCCCAG
rnacentral:rRNA from 1 species